UACGUAGGGGCCAAGCGUUGUCCGGAUUUAUUGGGUGUACGUAAAGAGCUCGUAGGCGGUUCGGCAAGUCAGCUGUGAAAUCUCCACGCUCAACGUGGAGGGGUCAGCUGAUACUGCUGUGACUCGAGUCCGGUGAGGGAGUGGUGGAAUUCCCGGUGUAGCGGUGAAAUGCGCAGAUAUCGGGAAGAACACCCGGUGGCGAAGGCG
rnacentral:rRNA from 1 species